GUGUCAGCCGCCGCGGUAAUACGGAGGGUGCAAGCGUUAAUCGGAAUUACUGGGCGUAAAGCGCGCGUAGGCGGUUUGUUAAGUCAGAUGUGAAAUCCCCGGGCUCAACCUGGGAAUGGCAUUUGAGACUGGCAGGCUAGAGUAUGGUAGAGGGUGGUGGAAUUUCCAGUGUAGCGGUGAAAUGCGUAGAGAUUGGAAGGAACAUCAGUGGCGAAGGCGGCCACCUGGACUGAUACUGACGCUGAGGUGCGAAAGCGUGGGUAGCAAACAGGAUUAGAAACCCGCGUAGUCC
rnacentral:rRNA from 1 species